AGGGAGGGGGUUAAGGCGAACAAGCUUCUCCUUUCCUCCAUCUCUCCCCCUCGUGUCCGCCGCCUGCGCUCCCUCAUCCGCGCCCCCGGACCCCGCCCCGAGCCUCAACAGGGAGGCUGGUCGAUCCCCUCUGCUCCCCGCGCCGCACUUUCCUCCUACCUUGGGCGCGUCGCCUCUGUUGCCGCUGCCCCGUGCCCCUGCCCCCGUCGCGACUGUGGAGAGGGGGAAGAGGGAGAGUGUGAAGGGAGGUCCUCUCCCCUCCUCACCUUGGCGAAGGAGGUGCCGGCAAGAGGCAAGGCAGGGGCGGCGUCGAGCAGCAGCUGGCGGCGAUUGAAGGAGGAAUUUAAGGGAGGGAGUCCCUUGACAGUGCGGCCGGUACCCGGGACUGGCGGGGGCGAGCUCCCCAGGUUGGCAGGGGUGAUGUCCCGAGCAGUGCGACUUGGACUUACGGCCAGCGGGGGCGAGGUCCCCGAACGGAGCGGCUAGGGCCCGACGCCGGCGGGGGUAAGGUCUCGGGUGGCCACGAGAUCUGCCCGCCGGCGAGAUCUGCCCAUCGGCGGUGGGCGCGCGGUGCACGGGCCGUGACCGCGACGCGCGAGUGGGGGUCAGCGCUCUCAGUCAGCUGGCCGGGCACCAGAAAGCGGGCGCGCAGCCAUGCGCGUGAGCACACGCGACACCUGCACGCGUCAGUGACCGCGGCGGGCUGGGGCCCUGGGGGCAUCGCUGCCUGGUGCAGCUGUGACUGAGAGCGGUCGGGGCGCGUGAGGGGAGCCAUCCCUGCCCGCGUGGUCGGCCGCUGGCCACGGCCUGCUAUGUGUAUUUGUAGUUGGCACCUUGUCACAGUAACUAUAGAUGCCGACCCAGGUGAAGCGACUUCUUUCAUUGAUGGAGUUUAUGAUGGAUAUCAAAAUGGGCUGCCAUUGCCAACAAUUAACGGUAUUUGGGAACCUGGGACCGAUAUUUGGGUUGGUGCUCGGCCACCCAUAGACUUAGAUGCCUUUGGUAGGUCAGAUAGUGAAGGUUCAGACUCAAAGAUGCAGAUCAUGGAUGCUUUUCUAUGGGGAAGAUGCCUCAGUGAAGAUGAGGUUGUUGCAUUGCAUACAACCAUUUCACCUGCCGAGCAUGGCUUUUUUGACCUUGGAGCUGGUGAUGCUUGGCAUGGAAGCUAUUCUGCAAGGGUGGAUGAUUGGGAAAGUGAAGAGGCUUAUGAGCUAUAUGAUCAAGGGGAUGUCGAAUGGGAUGGGCAGUACUCAAAUGGUAGGAAACGCCCGGUACAUGAUGCUGUAGCUAUUGACAUUGACUCCUUUGCUAGGAGACCCAAGAAAACCAAGGUUUGAGACACUAGACGAAGUCAACCAGCGUAUGAUGUCUGUUGAAAGGGCUGUCAGGGAUGCUCUUGUUGCUAAAGGAGAGAGAAACUUUACUGAUCAAGAGUUCCCUCCAGAUGAUCGUUCUUUAUUUGCAGAUCCAACGGAUCCACCUCUGAAAUUGCAUGUAUUCCAUGUGCACAGCUCUUGCACUUGUGUGGAAAAAUAUUGGUUGAGUUACUGACACAUUAAUUUAUGGGUAUGGGUUGUUUCUAAGUGGAUGAGGCCUUCGGACAUAGCAAAGGAGAUAUCUAUCAAUUCUCAGCCAUGCUUGUUUUCUGGUUCUGUGAAUUCCUCACAUGUGUGUCAGGGUCGGUUGGGAGACUGUUGGUUCCUAAGUGCAGUCGCAGUUUUAACUGAGGCGUCCGGUAUAUCAGAAGUUAUAAUAAUCCCUGAGUACAAUGAAGAAGGGAUUUACACUGUCAGAUUCUGCAUUCAGGUAUCUAAUAUCCAAUGAUUUAAACCAUUUGACUGAUAAAUAUUUGUUCACUUGGGUUGUUCGUUUCCAUUACAUAUUAGCCUUGCAUCAUUUGGUUGCUAUGGUAUCCAGGAAGGUUCAGUUGAUUCAUUCUGCAAAGUUUAUAAUAUAGUUAUCACAAAAAUGUUAGACCACAGAAUCAUGACGGCAUUGGUAACACAUACUUUACUAUAUUGGAAAAAAUUAAUUAUUUUAUCAGAAGUAGUUCACCAGUCUGCAAUAUUUAGUGGAGAUAUGCCGGGGUCAUAUCUUGAAUGCGCACUGCUUUAUGGAGAUGAAAUAGUAGCUUAGUUAUACACUUACACUUGACCCCUCCAUUGUCAGUAUGUUACUAAUUGACUCCCCCACAUAUUUUAUGGCCCUUCUCUGGCUCCCAAUAGUGCCGUGAGCCAGAAAAAAAAUAUAAAUCUACAGGAUGGCUACGAGCUUAGAAAGCGAAUUUUGGGACAACUACUAACAUACAAAGACAAUGAAUGUAAAUACAAUAUACCCUCCGGUGUCCUGGACUUCAUAAGUUGUAUCUGCAAUACUCAAGAGUGAAAAGAAAGAGGGUGAUGUCAAUAUGAGUGUAUCAAAAGAAGCUUAAAACAUUCAAAUGAUGAAGAUAAAUUGUAUCAAAUCAUAGUCCCUAUUAUACUUAUGUGAUUAGUACAAUUUAUUUGAGUUGCCUCUUGUACCAUGUCUUGAUCCAAGUGUGCGAGCAUGUGUGUCACUGCACGCCAAUGGCAUGUUGUCAUUGUGAUUUGUCAGAUAUAAUCCAUUUCAUGUGUAGAGUCCAUCAUGAAAUGUGGCCUGAUGGAGAAACAUUUUUUAUGGUUCUUUUAUGAAUAGUUAUGUUAAUUUCA